GCUACCUUUCUCUCUCUAGAUCUC
rnacentral:miRNA from 1 species